AACGCUAGCUACAGGCUUAACACAUGCAAGUCGAGGGGCAGCAUUUUAGUUGCUUAGCAAACUAAAGAUGGCGACCGGCGCACGGGUGAGUAACACGUAUCCAACCUGCCGAUAACUCGGGGAUAGCCUUUCGAAAGAAAGAUUAAUAUCCGAUAGUAUAUUAAAACCGCAUGGUUUUACUAUUAAAGAAUUUCGGUUAUCGAUGGGGAUGCGUUCCAUUAGUUUGUUGGCGGGGUAACGGCCCACCAAGACUACGAUGGAUAGGGGUUCUGAGAGGAAGGUCCCCCACAUUGGAACUGAGACACGGUCCAAACUCCUACGGGAGGCAGCAGUGAGGAAUAUUGGUCAAUGGACGAGAGUCUGAACCAGCCAAGUAGCGUGAAGGAUGACUGCCCUAUGGGUUGUAAACUUCUUUUAUAUGGGAAUAAAGUAUUCCACGUGUGGGAUUUUGUAUGUACCAUAUGAAUAAGGAUCGGCUAACUCCGUG
rnacentral:rRNA from 1 species